rnacentral:piRNA from 1 species
UUGAGACUUUUAUUCAGAUAU